CAUUCUUCAGUCUCUUCAUCAUUUUUCUUUUUCUCGAGUCUUGCCUUAGGUAUGGGCGUCCCCUCAGCGAGUAUAGUGUCCCCACGGGAUUCAUUAUAACAUGGAAUACAAAAGUAGUGACGAGUGUCACCAGCUCCUACGGUGUAAUACAUAGCAUUUCUCUUGAUGCGGGCACCACAAGGGGUACAAUAUAUAGGUGGUGGCUCAAAGAUCGUGGCUGCUAUGGCCCCAAACGCCGCUGUGGAUAUACAAACUGUCGCUGCAGCCGAUUUAGUCACCCAGCAGCUAUGACACUGAUAUCUACUACUUCGGUUGUUCAAUAGAUUCAAACGGUAGAGAGAAGGAUACAGAGUGUGUGUUAUCAUUACUUAACUGGUUCUUUUGAUCUCAUCAGAUUCUCUGCGUCUUGUUUUCGCGACAAGGUUAACCUAGUGGUUCUUGUUGAACACUCUAUCUUGUUUAGACACUUGUCAAUAUCUGGUGGCUUGGAAUUUAGAAACUUUUCAGACUUCCACGUAUGCCAGAAUCUUAUGCUUACAUGACACAAUCACACACAAUUUAAAACAGUAGUAAUUAACCAUAAGACUAAUUCAAGAACCAAAUAACUAUGAUUGCAACUUACAAAUGUGAUUACAGUUUCCUCAAAACAGAAAAGACAAAAAAGUGGAAGAGAAUCAAAAGACAAACACUCUAUCUCUAUCUUACUUUUCUUGCAAGAAACAAGUUAACGUAACUGUAUAUGUUACACUAUUGCCAUUCCCAAAUCAGAAAUGGCAAUUUUACAAGAAUACAAUAUAAAUUACUAUAAAUAGAAACAAGUGAGGGACGUGUGUGUGCGUGUGUAUAGUAUAUAAUCAUAAGAUCACCCAACCAAACCACAUCAAAUCUACUGACCUUGAGACUCGAGACGCUCUCAUCUUUGAAGAAGACUCGACUUUGCUCUUCUUCUUCUUCUUCUGCUUCUUCUGAAAAUCAAGUCUCACUCUGGGCACAUGUUAAAUACAAACCUAAGCUAAAUGCAUCAUUAGUCUCUAACUGCCUUGUCUUAAUCUUCUUCUUCAAUAAGAUAACGAUCAAGUUGUUGGAGCUCUCAGUGAAAGGGGCAACAUAUCUUGUUACCUUUGAGAGAAAGGAACUUUGAUUUGAUCUUUCCAAAUGUACAAGUUUUGAUUACCCUGAUCCUCCAGCGACUUCCGCAGCUCUCUGUCUCAUCAUUUCCAUCACAGCUGCUCUUCGCCUUGAAUCUGAUUGCUGCUGUAAUCUUCUCAGAUGCUCCUUCAGGUCACUGAAUGAAAGAGAGAGAGAGAGAGAGAAUAUCACAACCAUCAUCAACACAAAAUUCAAAUGAACCAAAGUGGUUUGAUGUAUUUCAUGGAUCAUCAUAAAGUCGUUUACCUGCAACGAGGUACAUGGCACUGAGAUUCCUUGCAGGCCCGAGCGUGGAGUUGCAGAAGAUACCACAUUUUCUUGCAUAGAACACAGCCUCCCGAAGCACGCACUUUGCACUGUAUACCAUGUCGGAAUAGUCCCUUCACUUUCCGGCAAUUUGGAUACUGACAAUUUGCAGAACGACAUUGUGAUGCAUGUACCAGAAGUUCCAGCAUUUUCCUCAGCUGCAAAUUCAAAAAAGAAGAGAACAUAAAACAAAGAAUGUAACCAAGAGAGAAGCAACACCAGCUCUCAAAAGAAACAGUAUUAAUACCUGCAAGACUCGCAACUGCCUUGCUUCUUUGUUCUGAGCAUUUUGAUCAGCUAGGGAUGGAUGAUUAGUCAACUUGUGAGGAUGAUUAACUCCACCAUCUCUACUGUAACAAGAGUUGCACACAUCGUAGUCUGGACAUACUUCACAGCGCCAGCCUUGACCAGUUUCAAUGUCGAGGUGACACGCAUUGCAGGUCGUGACAAACGCAGGAGCAGUUGGGUUAUGCAGAUGAUAAAGGACCAUCAUUGAUGAAUGUUUUGCCCGCCUCAACGUGUCGUACUGAUAAUGGUUCCCUUGACAAAGACUCAGAAACGCUUGCCUUGUGUCGAAAAACUCGCUUUCUAGUAUCUCAUCUUUGUCCCUUGUAUCUGCAGGAAUAUCUGUAAUCUCAACCUGCAAAUACAAUCCCACUAAGAUUCAUGAAACUGAUCACAGACAAAAGGUUAAGGACGCUAUCCUCAAUAAGCAAAUGCAACUCACAGGGUACAACGCAUGCUUAUCCCUGAAAUUAGCAGGAUGCCUUUCCCUGUCUUCACGCCGCUGUUCAGCUUCAUAACACCUGAAAGGGAAUCAGUAAGAUUCUUAUGUGCAAUCAUGGUUCUAAAACUUGUUCUAGGCAGUAACUUAAUCCUACCCGAAACGAUUUCUUCUUUAAAAUCCAAUUUAUAUGACUCAACUCGGUUUAAAUCGGUUAAAUAAGUCUAAAUCUAAUAAAUUAAGCAAUAAUGUUAGUACUCUAAUUUCUUUUGUUUUCUAUAUCUAAUCUGAUAAUUCAUUAUUCAUCAAAAUAAUUUUCUAGGCCUAGUUGAUAUCCUCUACAAAGCGCCUAGUUAAGGCCUAGCGAUUUCUUAACAUUGUGUGCAAUUCAACAAUAAAAGUAAAGAGCAGAAGAGAAAGGGAAUAGUUCUUACUUAUCACAAAUCUGAAAGUAUUUGCACUGACUGCAGAGCCAACGAUUUCCAGAUACCAUCAACAUACAGCAAUGUGUGCAAGAAGGUUGCAGGUGGACCAUGAUAAAGUCCUCCUUCAUAGGGUGAAUGGUCUCACCAAGCUGGGAACAAAGGUGAAUAUAAUAUUACCAAAACAAUAACAAAAAGAUAGUAAAACGCAUAGAAAGUAAAGAUUACUUUAUGCAUUAGCAGCAGAUCCUUGGAUGCAUUCCCAGAUAAAUCAGUCUGCCCAGAAGCUUUUAGAGCCCUUUUUGUAAUUGUUUUCUUUAGCAUUCCUUUCUUAUUCCCCUUUCUGCCAUCUUCUUCUUGACUCAUUUGGUAUAUAAGAUCCUCUGCUGCACCUGGCCAGUAGUCACCAUCGAAAUACGGGAGCCUAGCUGCAGUAACCUUAGCUCUACAUUCACCGGUUUGCAUAAAGAAAUGGUCAUAUAGAUUUAUAGUUUCUGCAACAAUGCCUUCCUUUGAAGCUUUUUUCAACAUUGCUAAGUACCUGCAAUGAACAACAUGAGCGUUUGGAUUAUGUAAAUGACUUUUUUCAUAGAAAAACUUUAUGUUUAUUCCAAAAAAGGUAACCGAACUAACCACUCUCGUAGUUUAUCAGAUUUUGGCGUCUUCUGUAUUUCUGGAUGGCAAUAUAAGAUAUAGUCCUCGCCCUUGAGAGGCGGACAAGCCCAUAUGUAGCAGCUCGUGAAACCACGCAACUUGCAGUAUUCUAGGUAACCGAUCUAAACACAUGAUCAAAUCAUACCCUUAAUCCUUCAAAAAAGAACACGGAUAUUAGCUAAUGACUAAUGUUUAAGAAGACCAGGACUUACCAGGAUUUCGUGGUAAACGAAAGUGCGCAGGGCCUCUCCGUAAUAAGAUCUAACCUCGGGUCUAAAGUACUUUACAGAAUCCAAAUAAGAGAGAUAAACUCGGCGUUGAUUAGGAAAUGCGCAUUCAGAACCAAACUCUUGGACGUACAUCCCAAAUAAGCAAACUUCUACACCUUCAAUCUUUUGGAACAACAGAACCACCUGGCAAAAUAAAAUGAUGUGUGAGAAUGGAUACUUCAAGAAAGAAAUGCAUAAAUUCACGAUGAGCCUUGAUCAUUCUUUACCUUGGACUUGUAUGCAAACUCUGUUGGGUAACUAUCUUCCCGAAAAAUUUCAAGAAACCGAGGUUUGACUUCCAGCUUCUUGUCAACAGAUGAAACAACUCUAAUCACAAGGGACUCGGCAGUAGGCACCUCAUCAAAACUUUUUCCUUGAGCCCUGGCUCUCUCUGUUCUUUCCUGCUUCAGCUUCUUAAACAGCCGCUGCUCAAUAUGGUCACUGAGAAUUGUUCUCGGAAGGUCUUUCGCUCCAAGAACAGCACUCUGAGGUAAAGGCUUCCUCUUACUUUGUUCCACUUCUGCUAUAUAGCAAUAAGGGCAGGUAUACUCAGCUUGCCCUCCGUCAUUCCUUCUCCCAUUAAACAAAGCACAGAUCUGAUGCUGCCAUGCCUCACAUUUAUCACAUUGGACCCACUGCAAAGGUAGAAACAGAUUACAGAAUGUACUGAAAAUCAGGAGACAAACACAAAAAGAGUGGAUAGUCGUUUACCCAUUCUUCGGUCUCUUCAUCAUUUUUCUUUUUCUCGAGUCUUGCCUUAGGUAUAGGCGUCCCCUCAGCGAGUAUAGUGUCCCCACGGGAUUCAUUAUAACAUGGAAUACAAAAGUAGUGACGAGUGUCACCAGCUCCUACGGUGUAAUACAUAGCAUUUCUCUUGAUGCGGGCACCACAAGGGGUACAAUAUAUAGGUGGUGGCUCAAAGGUAAGCUUCUCCACUGCACAUAGUUGACAUGAGUUCUCACUCAUUGAAUGCUCCAUAGCCUGAUUCUUUUCUGCUUUGGCUUUACUCUGCAAGCACAUAAAGAACAG
rnacentral:lncRNA from 1 species